rnacentral:rRNA from 1 species
UACGUAGGGGGCAAGCGUUGUCCGGAUUUAUUGGGCGUAAAGAGCGUGUAGGCGGCCAUACAGGUCCGUUGUGAAAACUGGAGGCUUAACCUCCAGACGUCGAUGGAAACCGUAUGGCUAGAGUCCGGAAGAGGAGAGUGGAAUUCCUGGUGUAGCGGUGAAAUGCGCAGAUAUCAGGAAGAACACCCGUGGCGAAGGCGGCUCUCUGGGACGGUACUGACGCUGAGACGCGAA